GGAGGCAUAGCUCAGCUGGUUAGAGCGCUCGCUUCACAUGCGAGAGGCCAUGGGUUCAAGUCCCUUUGCCUCUACCA
rnacentral:tRNA from 1 species